UGUUGUACUUUCUGCUUGUGUAUUCUCUCUGGGCAGAGAUGCCACUUGCCUCCCCCACCCUGCCCUGCGCCCACUGCAGUGCUCCCCUCGCUUCAGCUUUGGGCUCACCUCCCGCUACCCUGUCCAUGUUCCCUUCUCACCAGCAGCCAGGCCUCUGCUCCACUCGCUUGGUCCUCAAAGGUGGACUCCUUACUGGCCUUGUUUCCAGACAGCCUCCUAUCACCCGUGCCCAAGUGGUCUUUCUAACAAAUCCACAUUUUUGUUUGUUUUUGAGACCGCCUCUCUCUCUGUCACCCAAGCUGGAGUGCGGUGGUGCGAUCACUGCUCACUGCAGCCUUAACCUCCUGGGCCCAAGUGAUCUUCCCACCUCAGCCCCCUGAGUAGCUGGGACCAUAGGCACAGGCCAACAUGCCUGGCUAAUUUUUUUACUUUUGUAGAGAUGGGGCCUUGUUGUGUUCCCCGGGCUGGUCUUGAAUUCCUGGGAUCAAGUGAUCCUCCUGCCUCAGGCUCACAAAGCGCUGGGAUUACAGGUGUGAGCCACUGUGCCCGGCCACAAAUCAAAAUUUUUGAGUCCUAUCAUUGGCUCCCCCAGGCCCAUAGGACAAAGUCCUAACCCCUAGUCAGGACACUCAGUGUCCUCUGCUCUCUCCUGGGUUUUCAUCCUCUUCUCUUCUCACUCCUGGCCACUGAUCUGUUUCCACUGCCCUCAUUUGCUCUCCUGCUCUUGCUUGAGCUAUUCUUUCUGCCUGGAAUGCCCAUGUUGGCACCAUAAUCACCAACUAAAAGAUCCUUUUCUUUUUAUUUUUUUAGAGAUAGGGUCUUGCUGUGUUGCCCAGGCUGGUCUCAAACUCCAGGACUCAAUUGAUCUUUUUGCCUUGGCCUCCCAAAGUGCUGGGAUUAACAGGAAGAAAUGUUAUCAAUUCUGUUGAUGGACCCCUUAAUCUCUUCUACUGAUUAUCUUCUACUUGAACCAGUGCCAAAUUAAUGUUGCAAGCUUUGUCGUGAAAUAUGUAAGACUUAUAACUUUGUUGUUAUUCCACUCGAUUGUGAUGAAUAUGGGUAUUCUGGGUUUCUAUUUAAACUUUACAUACUGUUUUUAAAUUUCUCCAAAAAACCUGAUAGAAUUUUGACUGAAAUUGAUUUCAAUCUAUAGAUCAAUUUGGAUAAUUAAUACAUGUAAAUGUGGUAGCUAUUUAUAAUUAUUUUCUGAUAUUUAUACAUUUCAUUAAUUUUAAUUGUGUGAUUGGAUUCACAUCAAUCUCUUUAGUACAAUGUUGAAUACAGGUGAGAUUAAAUUUUAUCCCUAUAUUAUUCUCUACAUUUGAAAAAUAGUUUUUAAUAUUUCACCAUUAAGUGUUAUAUUGGCUGUAUAAUAUUUGCAAUAGUAUUUUGGAAAAGUAAUAUAUUCAAAUAUAAUUUUUUAUCCUAAAUUUAGUACGAAUUAUUAUAAAUUGAGUUUUUAAGUGCAUGCAAGUUUAUUAGAAAAUAAAGGAAUAAAGAAUGGCUACUCCACAGGCAGAGCAGCUUCAAGGGCUGCUGGUUGCCCAUUUUUAUGGCUAUUUCUUGAUUAUAUGCUAAGCAAUGGGUAGAUUAUUCGUGAGUUUUCUGGAAAAGGGGUGGGCAAUUCCCAGAACUGAGGGUUACUCCCAUUUUUAGAAUAUAGAGAAACUUCCUGAUGUUGCCGUGGCAUUUGUAAACUCUCAUGCUGCUGGUGGGAAUAUGGCAGUGAGGAUGACUAGCUGUCACUCUCGUCGCCAUCUUGAUUUUUGUAGGUUUUAGCCAGCUUCUUUACUACAAACUGUUUUACCAGCAGGGUCUUUAUGACCUGUAUCUUUUGAUGACCUCCUACCUCAUCCUGUGACUUAGAAUGCUUAGCCCUCUGAGAAUGAAGCCCAGUACGUUUCAGCCUUAUUUUACUUAGCCCCUUUUCAAGAUGGAGUUGCUCUGGUUCAGAAGUCUCUGAAAUUUCCCCUAUUUUCUUUGUAAGAUAACCCUUCAUUCUAAGGAUUGUAGAGGGACAAAAAUCCAUCUUCUGUGACUUCUUUAAGCUGAAUAGGGGUGAUGAUAUUUCUGCCUAACUAUGAAGGUCCCUUGUGUUCAGGAUAGAGGGGAGCUAAGUCAGAAAGCAUCAAUAUGCUGAGGGCCAUUUAUAACUCCACAUUCUGACAAAACUGGAAGAUUAAUGAGUGCACAAUGUAAGAAAACAUUCUGAGAAAACUGGAUAUCGGACGAUUAAUAAGUGUACAAUUUAAGGAAACAUUCAGUAAGCUUAUCCUGCAUUCUGAUGCAGAGUACAACAGCAAUAUAUUCCACAACACUGAAGCAAAAUAAGUAAAAUUAUCCCAAGUAAAAUAAAUAAGAAGGCUUUCUAUGAACUAGGCAAAUAUUGCAACCAAGCUGAUAGGGGAUUGCUAACUGAUUCCAAUAUGUGUCCAGAAUUAGAAUACUGAUACAGAUUUUUACAAUACUUUCCCUUUAGUUUCUUCUGAGCAGCAGCCAGAGAUCACUGAUUAAUUCACAGGAAUAAGCAGGGUUACUCUAAACUGCUUGAAAAGGAAACCUCAAAAACAACUGAUGAGACUAGAAUUUAAUAACAAGUAUACCAUAAUUCUUGAAGCAUAAUUUUUCUCUCUCCAGUCUUUCAUUUUUACCAAAGACAAAUCAUGGUAAGUUCAACUUGCUUUAUUAUACUUGGCCUGAUUAUUUGUAUAAUAUGCAGCAAGAAUAAUUAUUUUUCACAUAGACUUUUUAAGUUGACUUUGAUGGAAAUUUGUUGCAUAGAAAGAUUCUCAGAUAAGACUUUUUUAAAGAUGAUCCCAGCCAUGGCUUUGUACCCUCAAAUACCUAUGAGUUAGGUAAAUUCCUCUCCUCUUGAGGUCCCACGACAACUUGGAGCUCCUGAGCCUUUCAGAAAGUGACAUUCUUUACUUACUGAGGUGAAGAACCCUGCACAAGGCCUUUGUAGACAAGUAUGAGGCCAGUUUUCUUAAGGGAAUUUUAUUGACUCUGUAAGUCAAAUUUAAUUCCUUAAAGAAAAGCAUAUCAUUUCAGUAAAGCCUUGAUAAAAAUAACAAGUUUCUCCAGUUGUGUCAUGUUCCAAAAAAAAAAAAAAAAUCUUAUUGCACUUAUGCAAAUAACAAUAUGGCCAUAAGUUAAGAAUACUAAUAAAGAGUUUCCAAAUUCUGGAUAAAUCAGGAAGAGAGAAACAAAUAUGUUCCAACUUUUGUUCAUAGGAGGAUACUUAAUUGUUAAAAGUUGUCAAUAGCUCAAAAGAAUAAGUUUUCUUGACUCUGAAAAUCAAAACAAAGGAUCAGCAAUGUUUUAAGCAAAAUGUCAAAAAAAUUACUUCAGUCUUUUAUUAGUUCAGUCCAUGCAGUUAACUCCUGUUCUGCUUGAUAUUCAUGAACUUUUCAGCUCUCCAUGAGAGUCCUGAAGGAUUUUCCUCUAUUCUAAUGUCACAAUAUCCAAAGUUAUCAGAAGCCUGCAUUCAAGAACACCUGUUAGAGUCCUAUGGCUGAUUAUAAACCACAUUUUAAAGUGGAUCAAAACAAGACAACAAUUGUUGAUGGAUGACAAAAUGCCUUAGGGCAGUCACUGUUAACGCCACAAUUGACUAGGAAAUUUUGGCUACUUUUGUGGCACACAAAAAUUUUACAUAACAAUCAUAAUUAUUAAUAACAUACAGUAAGUCAUAUUAGAAGUAUAGGUGUUUCCCAUAAUUUUGGAACACAUACCAAUAACAUAUUUAUACAAAUACAACUCAAAGAAAGCCAAACACCAUUUCAUAUCUGACAGUGCUUCCCGUGUGAUUUUUAUACCAAAUAAACCAAAUGCCAUUUCUACAUUAGUGUACUAUUAAUGUUAAACCCUGUGUUUAUUAAAACCUUAUAGGCAAAUAUAUCCAAUUUUUAUGUCUGAUCAUAAGGUAAGAUUUUUAUUAACCAUUUAUAAUCCUUUAAAUUUUUGUUAAAGAGAAGAUUAGUGUUCUAAGAAAAACUUGCUUUUUUUAUUGCGGUGAUAAAUUUAUGGAAAAAUUGAAUAAAACUCCUUUAACUGUAUGUUCACACAUAGAAUUUAUCUUACAAGAUCUGACAUAAAAUCCUUUAACCCUCUAAACUUAGGCAAGAAAUCCACAUUACCAUGCUUCUUACAAUCUUUUACCAAAAGUAUAUUCUACUUUUCUUGCAUGCCUUGAAUGUAGAGCUGUUUCUUUAGUAGUCUCAAAUACAUAUUACACUGUUAACUCUUCAUUUUGAAUUAUAUGCUCUGUCUUUUUCUGCAUAUACUGAAAUGAUCAAACUAUUUUCUACAUUUUUCUCUUAAUGUGGUAGAAUGUAAUGAAUUUCAAAGUUAAAUAAAAUUUUUAAUUUCUGCACUUAAACUCAUCUUACAUUGAAAUAUAUAUCUUCCUUAUAUUGCAAAAUUCAUUUGACUAAUGCAUUGUUGAAUACUUGGCAUUUAUGUUUUAGACAUAAACUCUAGCUUUAAAAAUGAUUAUUAUAAUACUUAAAGUAUAAUAAUAAUAAAAGAAAGAAAAGAAAAAAAGGAAAACAUGGAUAAGCAGAUAUGAAAAUAUUUUUUUCCAAAAAUGGAGAUUAUAUUACAGAUUAUUGCAUGCCAAACUCUUUGUAAACAUAGAAAAUGAUACAGAGGCCAGGCGCGGUGGCUCACGCCUGUAAUCCCAGCACUUUGGGAGGCCGAGACGGGCGGAUCACGAGGUCAGGAGAUCGAGACCAAGGUGAAACCCCGUCUCUACUAAAAAUACAAAAAGUUAGCCGGGCGUAGUGGCGGGCGCCUGUAGUCCCAGCUACUCGGGAGGCUGAGGCAGGAGAAUGGCGUGAACCCGGGAGGCGGAGCUUGCAGUGAGCCGAGAUCGCGCCACUGCAGUCCAGCCUGGGUGACAGAGCGAGACUCCGUCUCAAAAAAAAAAAAAAAAAAGAAAAAAGAAAAUGAUACAGAAUUACUGUCAAAAACAAUUUAGACUUGUCGGCUUUGUUGGCAUUUUGAAUGUGAAUACUCUAAGAUGUGAAUCUGACUGAAUAAGUGAUAUUUAUUUCAAAAAACUGUAGUACAUCAAUUCCUAGAACCUUUUAUGAAUGAAUACUUUAUGAAAUGAAUUUUAUGACUGGCUUGAAUAAAGUUGUUGUAAAUUAUUGCCUGAUAAAGCAGAAUGGUAUCUAACUUUAGUUACCUUUAGCUUCUAAUUUAGUGAAAAUAAAAGACUUCUUGAAAUGUCAAAAAAAAAAAAAUGAUGUGGGAAUUACGCCAUUUUUAGUCUGUACCCUGGAAAAGAUUUUUGGACAGAAUAUUCUCUUCUUCUUAAUUAUUUGGUAGAAUUUGAUAAGAGGAAGAGAUUUUUCAAGUUUUUCGUUUAAAUGUUUGCAUCCUUCAUAACAUUGAUUUCAGAACUUGAUGAGGUUAUGAAAAGAAAAGAAAAUUGCAGACUGAUCAUUCUUUUUUUUUUUUUUUUCUUGAGAGGUAGUGUCACUCUGUCACCCAGGCUGGAGUGCAGUGGCAUGAUCUCUUCUCAUUGCAACCUCUGCCACCUGGGCUCAAUUGAUUCUCCUGCAUCAGCUUCCCAAGCAGCUGUGAUUACAGGCUCCCACCACCAUGCCCAGCUAAUUUUUGUAUUUGUAGUAGAGAUGGGAUUUUGCCAUGUUGGCCAGGCUGGUCAUGAACUCCUCACCUCAGGUGAUCUGCCUGCGUUGGCCUCCCAAAGUGCUGAGAUGACAGGUGUCAGCCACCACACCUGGCCUGGAUCAUUCUUAUGUAGACAAAUGCAGAUAUAUUGCAUCAUCGUAAGCUUAAUCCACAAAAAACACAUCAAGGCAGAGCAUAGUUUAUUUCAGAAAUAAAAGAUUGGUUUUGCAGCCAUAAAUUGCUCUAAUUCAGCAUAUGAACCGAAUUAAAUAAAAUAUAUACAUACAUAUACAUACAUAUCACUCCAGAUGAAUGUUUAAAUCACUGAUUUUUCUAACUUUUCAUUAUUUCAUAUAAAGUCCUUGAACAGUUUUCCUUAAAGUACAGCUAUAGCUAUAUUCUGCCUAUUUUCCAGUGUCAUAUUUCCAUGCUGUUUCUUAAAUUCAUAUACUAAUUACAUGCUAUGUUACAUCAUCUCACACAUGUGUUUAGAAAUGUACAGUAUAAUUUGGAAAUAUUCAGAAAUUUUUAAAACUUUUUGUUAAUUAUUUCUAGAUAAUUCUAAAGUAGUCAGUCUACAUACACUAUACAUUUAGCCCUUUGACAUUUGAUGAUACAUACCAUGUAUCUCUUUUAUUUACACCUAUAUAUGCAUCUCUCUAUAGUUUUACUAUCUUUUCAUCAUUUGUAUAAUUUUAUAAUUUAUUAAUCAUUUUUAAAUCUUUUGAAUAGUUACCAUUUUAAACUGUUUUAUCAGUUAUGAGAGAGGCAUUGUAAAAUAUUCAACCAUAAUUGUAAAUGUGUUUACAUAUCUUUUGGCUUCUGUCAUUUUUUAAAUUUGAAUAUGCAAAAUUUUAUGUGCACAAAACGUUAGAGUUGCUAUAUCUUAAGAUGUUGCCAUUGUAUUAAAUGCUUUUCUUCUCUCUAGAAAUACUUCUUGACUAAUGUGGUUGAUUAUUGUAUAUGCACACAAGUUUCUCAUUUUUAGUAUUUGAAUGAUAUAUAUGUAUAGGUGAUAAAUACGUUAUAUACUGUCUUAUUUUGAGCAUAUUUUUAUGAUAUUUGUAAGGUAUGUCUCUUUUAAGCCACAUAUUAGUUAUUUUUUUACUUGACAUCAGUCUUUAACUAGAAUAUCUAUUUAGAUUUUAUGUAACUCAUUGUCUAAUCUGUAUUCAAUUCUUUAAGCAUAUUUGUUUUCUAUUUGUCCUGUGUCUUUUACAUUUUCUUUUUUUAUUUUGUAUUAAUUAACAAAGUUUAUUAUUCUUUUUUAACCACAUUAACUUAGCAGCUAUAUGGUCUUUGUAUAGUGUUUUAGCAGCUACCAUAGAUAUUAAAACCUGAAUCCCUGGUUUAUAUUUAAGUUAGUCAUUUGUUUCCUAUACAAUGCAAGGGUCCUAGGCCAUUUAAAGUUUAUUUAUACUCCUGCCAUUGUAUAGAGCCAAUUAUUAUCUGUAUUUACAUUCAUUUGUAUUUGCCUUUUCCAAUCCUCUCUGUUUCUUUUUGCAAGCCUAUUGUUUGCUCUGUGUUUAUGUUCAUCUGCUGAACACUCUUUAGGAAUUCCUCAAUGCAGGUCAGCUUAGUAUUGAUUGUCUUUUAUUCUGAUCAGCAUAUCUUUUCUCUUAGUAAAUAUAAUUUUUUUUAUAUUCUCACUUCUGUUACUAUUCUUGUGAUUCCUACUCUUAGCCUUUCUACUACAUAAAGCAGUAAACUUUACCUAUUUUUGUAGUUUUUAAAAGAUAAUUCUCUGUAAGUUUGUCUUUUCUAUUUUAAAGUGAUGGACCUGAGUAUAAUUUUCUUUCUAUUUAACUUGAAUACGUGACUUAUGGUCUUUCAUCAAUUUUGGACAUUUUUGUCAUUAUUUCUUCAAAAUUUUCUUUUUUUCCUGUUUUCUUUCUUUCUAGUUAAACUUCAGUUAUACAUCAAUUACACGUUUUGCUCCCACUGCAUCUCUGUUUGUUAAAAUAUUUAUAUUUUAUUGUUUUAUCUCUCCUUACUUCAGUGUCUUUUUUCUGGUUCAUUAAUUUUCUUUUAUCUCUGUCUAGUCUUCUAGUACACGCACAAUUGAGUUGUGCUAAUGAAUUAAAUCCUUCAUACAAUCAAGCGAAAAAAUUUAACUGGGCAAUUUGUCUUUCUUGACUCAAAUGUCUUUCUUGACUCAACCCUCAUUCAGUAAUACAUCCAAAUUUUCAAAAAAUCCCAAUAUUUUAACCUCAAUAAUGAUAGAUUGUUUUUCAUGUGAUUGAUUUAUAUGUAAAUGUGAACAUAUUGUAGAUACUCAUUAUUCUGAUUUACUUAAUGUUUGUGAGAUUCAACCAAAGAUAUGAUGACUAUUAAAUGUCCUUUUCAUUGUUGUGCAUUGUGCAUUGACCUUAUAUGCAUAACCCCAAAUUAAGUUAUCUAUUUUCUUGAUGUAAAUUUCAGUUAACUUUAGUUUCUUAUUCUAAGGAUAAUUACAGAUGUGCAUCCUUACAUCUUUCUUAUGGAAUUAAGGAACUCAUUUGGUUCAAUAUGGUAAGGACUUACAUUGCUACAUUAACGCUAUAGAAUAUCUCAUCUCUCUUUCUCCCCAUCUCUUUCUCUCUUUCUACUUAAUUAAUCUAUGAAAAAAAUUAUUUAGAAUAAGCAAAUUUUGAAUUCCAACAACUAUCCUUUUAAAAAAAUUCUUUGCUGGAAUUUUGCUUCAGAUUUAUUGUUAAUAGAUGGUCCCGCUUACAAUUUUAUUAAAUAUCAACAUCUUGGUCACGUAGAUUAUAGGCUAUAGCAAUAUUUAAAAAAUCAUUUUACAUGAAGUACAAAUGAAAAUUUUUAUCUAUCUGUGGUAGGCUGUCUGUGACAAAUAUGUAGAUACUUUGGUUUUAAAAUUAAACAGAUGAUGAAGCAGCUUACCGAGGUGAAAUUCUUGCCCAAGCUCAUGUAGUAGACGAGGCAGAGGGAGCUGGGAUUAGAACUCAAGAAAAUUUUACUCCAGAUUCCAUGCGUUGAAAGUUAGGUUCUAUAGAACCUUAAUUAGAUUAUUUUCUGUUUUACAAAGAAGAAUUUUUAACAACACAGUUGUCACUAUCUUUCAUAUUAGAGUAAAAAUUUAUAGUGACUACACACAGAUUAAUUCAUACUCUCUACGCAUGACUUUGACAGAGCAGGUCAUUUUUGUUCCAGCGUGCGAACAUGUCAUUGAGUUUUGUGGUUUGUUUGGGCGAUUUCUACCCUUUAAAAGUGGUCCUUUCUGGCCGGGUGCGGUGGCUCACGCCUGUAAUCCCAGCACUUUGGGAGGCCGAGGCGGGUGGAUCAUGAGGUCAGGAGAUCAAGACCAUCCUGGCUAACAAGGAGAAACCCCGUCUCUACUAAAAAUACAAACAUGAGCCGGGCGUGGUGGUGGGCGGCUGUAGUCCCAGCUACUCGGGAGGCUGAGGCAGGAGAAUGGCGUGAACCCAGGAGGCGGAGCUUGCGGUGAGCCGAGAUCCUGCCACUGCACUCCAGCCUGGGUGACAGAGUGAGACUCCGUCUCAAACAAACAAACAAGCAAACAAAAAUGGUCUCUUGCUAAUUCUAUUGGCAUUUCUGUUAUUUCACAUAGGUGAAAAAACAAAAAGCUGGCUGGAUGUGGUGGCUCAUGCCUGUAAUCCCAGCACUCUGGGAGGUGGAGGCAGGAGGAUCCCUUGAGCCCAGGAGGUCAAGGCUGCAGUAAGCGGUGAUAGCACCAGGGCACUCCAGCCUGGGUGACAAAGCAAAACCCUGUCUCAAAAAAAAAAAAAUUCCUUUCAAAAUAUCUCUCUUAGUCCCUUCCACCUCUUCACAGCCAUUUCUGCAGCUUUACUUUAGACCUCUAGGGCCUCAGUCCACGUGUCCACUACUAAUUCUAAAUAAAUUCUACAUCUCCUCUCUCCCUGCUGCAAUCCACAUUCCAGGUGAUCCCAGAAGGCUUUAUUCCUACACCUCCACUUUGAAAAAGGCUGUCACUGCUCAGGUGGAGGACAAAAGGCUUACGAUUAGGCCUGUAACAGGUUAAACAGAAAUUUAAUCAUGAGGCCAUUAGGCUGAGAUAGCUCUCCCACCUUGGGUUCCUACCAAAGCAGACUAAAUCCCAAUGCAAAUGGGAAAACAAAACUUAAGCUCAACCCUUCAGAAACCACCCACUAACCACUAAAUAGGGACUGGGCACUUUAGCUCGUCAAAUACAUUUUCUUUUUGUUGCUCUUUUGAACACCUUAUCAAAGUAGUCCUCUCCCCUCCCCAUCCAGGGGGAGCACUGUUACUUGUGGUUUGGAGCUGGCCAAUUUGUGAAUUACUGUCUGCUUAAAUAAACUCUUCAGAAGUUUAAUGUGCCUAAGUUUAUCUUUUAAUGACAUGAUGGCCAAAUGAGGUUGUGCGUUGCUUGACAACACAUGCUGGAUUCAAGUAAGAAGACUACGUCUUAAACUUAUCCUGUACCUGCUAUGCCUACACCUACUCUGUACUGAGUUAAUAAUGAUUUACGAAUGAUUUAGUUAUGAUAUUAACAGUACAAUUUUGUUGCAUUGCACUUUUCCUAUUACAAGCAUUUCAUUUGUAAAAGGUAAAUAUUUAAACUGCAGCAUGGUAUUCAUAACCGCAUUUUUGCAUUUCUGUCCAUUUCUAAUAUACCUAUAUAUAUAUGUAUAUAUAUAUAUUUUAUUAUAAGUUCUGUGGUACAUGUGCAGAAUGUGCAAUUUUGUUACAUAGAUAUACAUGUGCCAUGGUGGUUUGCUGCACCCAUCAGCCCAUCACCUACGUUAGGUAUUUCUCCUAUUGUUAUCCCUAUCCUAGCCCGCCACCCCCUAACAGGCCCCAGUGUGUGAUGUUCCCCUCCCUAUAUCCAUGUGUUCUCAUUGUUCAAUUCCCACUUAUGAGUGAGAACAUGUGGUGUUUGGUUUUCUGUUCUUGUGAUAGUUUGCUGAGAAUGAUGCUUUCCGGCUUCAUCCAUGUUCCUUUCCUGCAAAAGACAUGAACUCAUCAUUUUUAAUGGCUGCAUAGUAUUCCCUGGUGUAUAUGUGCCACAUUUUCUUUAUCCAGUCUAUCAUUGAUGGGCAUUUGGGUUGUUCCAAGUCUUUGAUAUUGUGAAUAGUGCUGCAAUAAACAUACGUGUGCAUUUGUCCCUAUAACAGAAUGAUUUAUAAUCCUCUGGGUAUAUACCCAGUAAUGGGAUCGCUGGGUCAAAUGUUAUUUCUGGUUCUAGAUCCUUGAGGAAUCAUCACACUGUCUUCCACAACGGUUGAACUAAUUUACACUCCCACCAACAGUGUAAAGCAUUCCUGUUUCUCCACAUCCUCUCUAGUUUCUGUUGUUUCCUGACUUUUUAAUGAUCACCAUUCUAACUGGUGUGAGAUGGUAUCCCAUUGUGGUUUUGAUGUGCAUUUCUCUAAUGACCAGUGAUGAUGAGCAUUUUUGCAUAUGUCUGUUGGCUGCAUAAAUGUCUUCUUUUGAGAAGUGUCUGUUAAUAUUCUUGGCCCACUUUUUGAUGGGUUUUUUUUUUUCUUGCAAGUUUAUUUAAGUUCUUUGUAGAUUCUGGAUAUUAGCCCUUUGUCAGAUGGAUAGAUUGCGAAAAUUUUCUCCCAUUCUGUAGGUUGCCUGUUCACUCUGAUGAUAGUUUCUUUUGCUGUGCAGAAGCUCUUUAGUUUAAUUAGAUCCCAUUUGUCAAUUUUGGCUCUUGUUGCCAUUGCUUUUGGUAUUUUAGACAUGAAGUCUUUGUCCAUACCUAUGUCUUGAAUGGUAUUGCCCAGGUUUUCUUGUAGGAUUUUUAUGGUCCUAGGUCUUAUGUUUAAGUCUUUGAUACAUGUUGAGUUGAUUUUUGUAUAAGGUGUAAGGAAGGGGUCCAGUUUCAGUUUUCUGCAUAUGGUUAGCCAGUUUUCGCAGCAACAUUUAUUAAAUAGGGAAUCUUUUCCCCAUUGCUUGUUUGUGUCAAGUUUGUCAAAGAUCAGAUGGUUGUAGAUGUGUGGCGUUAUUUCUGAGGCCUCUGUUCUGUUCCAUUGAUCUAUAUAUCUGUUUUGGUACCAGUACCAGUUGCUGUUUUGGUUACUGUAGCCUUGUAGUAUAGUUUGAAGUAAAGUAGUGUGAUGCCUCCAGCUUUGUUCUUGCCCAGGAUUGUCUUGGCUAUACAGGCUCUUUUUUGGUUCCAUAUGAAGUUUAAAGUAGUUUUUCCCAAUUUUGUGAAGAAAGUCAGUGGUAGUUUCAUCAGGAUAACUUUGUAUAAAUUACUUUGGGCAGUAUGGCCAUUUUCUUUCUUUUCUUUUUUUUUUUUUUUUUUUGAGAUGGAGUCUUGCUCUGUCACUCAGGCUGGAGUGCAGUGGCGCGAUCUGGGCUCACUGCAAGCUCCGCCUCCUGGGUUCACACCAUUCUCCUGCCUCAGCCUACCAAGUAGCUGGGACUACAGGCACCAUUUUCAUGAUAUUAAUUCUUCCUAUCCAUGAGCAUGGAAUGUUUUUCCAUUUGUUUGUGUCUUCUUUUAUUUCCUUGAGCAGUGGUUUGUAGUUCUCCUUGAAGAAGUCCUUCACAUCCCUUGUAAGUUGUAUUCCUAGGUAUUUUAUUAUCUUAGUAGUGAUUGUGAAUGGGAGUUCACUCAUGAUUUGGUUAUUUGUCUGUUAUUGGUGUAUAAGAAUGCUUGUGAUUUUUGCACAUUCAUGUUGUAUCCUGAGACUUUUCUGAAGUUGCUUAUCAGCUUAAGGAGACUUUGGGCUGAGACGAUGGGGUUUUUUAAAUAUACAAUCAAGUCAUCUGCAAACAGAGACAAUGUGACUUGCUGUUUUCCUAUCUGAAUACCCUUUAUUUCUUUCUCUUGCCUGAUUGCCCUGGCCAGAACUUCCAAUACUAUGUUGAAUAGGAGUGGUGAGAGAGAGCAUCCUUGUCUUGUGCCAGUUUUCAAAGGGAAUGCUUCCAGUUUUUGCCCAUUCGGUAUGAUAUUGGCUGUGGGUUUGUCACGAAUAGCUCUUACUAUUUUGAGAUACAGUCCAUCAAUACCCAGUUUAUUGAGAGUUUUUAGCAUGAAGGGCUGUUGAAUUUUGUUGAAGGCCUUUUCUGUAUCUAUUGAGAUAAUCAUGUGGUUUUUGUCAUUGGUUCUGUUUAUGUGAUGGAUUACAUUUAUUGAUUUGCCUAUGUUGAACCAGCCUUGCAUCCCAGGGAUGAAGCCCACUUGAUCGUGGUGGAUAAGCUUUUCAAUGUGCUGCUGGAUUCGGUUUGCCAGUAUUUUAUUGAGGACUUUCACAUCGACGUUCAUCAGGGAUAUUGGUCUAAAAUUCUCUUUUUUUGUUGUGUCUCUGCCAGGCUUUGGUAUCAGGAUGACGCUGGCCUCAUAAAAUGAGUUAGGGAGGAUUCCCUCUUUUUCUAUUGUUUGAAAUAGUUUCAGAAGGAAUGGUACCAGCUCCUCUUUGUACCUCUGGUAGAAUUCGGCUGUGAAUCUGUCUGGUCCUGGACGUUUUUUGGCUGGUAGGCUAUUAACUACUGCCUCAAUUUCAGAACUUGUUAUUGGUUUAUCCAGGGAUUUGACUUCUUCCUGGUUUAGACUUGGGAGGGUGUACGUAUCCAGGAAUUUAUCCAUUUCUUCUAGAUUUUCUAGUCUAUUUGCAUAGAGGUGUUUAUAGUAUUCUCUGAUGGUAGUUUGUAUUUCUGUGGGAUCAGUGGUGAUAUCCCCUUUAUCAUUUUUUAUUGUGUCUAUUUGAUUCUUCUCUAUUUUAUUCUUUAUUAGUCUUGCUACCUGUCUAUCAAUUUUGUUGAUCUUUUCAGAAAACCAGCUCCUGGAUUAAUUGAUUUUUUGAAGGGUUUUUCUUGUCUCUAUCUCCUUCAGUUCUGCUCUGAUCUUAGUUAUUUCUUGUCUUCUGGUAGAUUUUGAAUUUGUUUGCUGUUGCUUCUCUAGUUCUUUCAGUUUUGAUGUUAGGGUGUCAAUUUUAGAUCUUUCCUGCUUUCUCUCAUGGUUAUUUAGUACUAUAAAUUUCCCUCUACACACCGCUUUAAAGAUGUCCCAGAGAUUCGGGUCCAUUGUGUCUUCAUUCUCAUUGGUUUCAAAGAACAUCUUUAUUUCUGGCUUCAUUUCGUUGUUUACCCAGUAGUCACUUAGGAACAGGUUGUUCAGUUUCCAUGUAGUUGUGUGGUUUUGACUGAGUUUCUUAAUCCUGAGUUCUAGUUUGAUUGCACUGUGGUCUGAGAGACUGUUAUGAUUUUUGUUCUUUUGCAUUUGCUGAGGAGUGUUUUACUUUCAAUUAUGCAGUCAAUUUUAGAAUACAUGCGAUGAGGUGCUAAGAAGACUGUAUAUUCUGUUGACUUGGCAUGGAGAGUUCUGUAGAUGGUUAUUAGGUCAGCUUGGUCCAGAGCUGAGUUCUAGUCCUGAAUAUCCUUGUUAAUUUUCUGUCUUAUUGAUCAGUCUAGUAUUGAAAUUGGGGUAUUAAAGUCUCCUACUAUUAUUGUGUGGGAGUCUAAGUCUAUUUGUAAGUCUCUAAGGACUUGCUUUAUGCAUCUGGGUGCUCCUGUAUUGGGUGCAUAUAUAUUUAGGAUAGUUAGCUAUUCUUGCUGCAUUGAUUCCUUUACCAUUAUGUAAUGGCCUUCUUUGUCUCUUUUGAUCUUGUUGGUUUAAAGUCUGUUUUAUCAGAGAUUAGGAUAGUAACUCCUGCUUUUUUUUUUUUUUUUGCUUGGUAAAUAUUCCUCCAUCCCUUUAUUUUGAGCCCAUGUGUGUCUUUGCACAUGAGAUGGGUCUCCUGAAUACAGCACACUGAUGGGUCUUGACUCUGUAUCCAAUUUGCCAGUCUGUGUCUUUUAAUUGGGGCAUUUAGCCCAUUUACAUUUAAGGUUAAUAUUGUUAUUUGUGAAUUUUAUCCUGUCAUUAUGAUGCUAGCUGGUUGUUUUGCCCAUUAGUUGGUGCAGUUUCAUCAUAGUAUUGACGGUCUUCACAAUUUGGCAUGUUUUUGCCGUGGCUGUUACUGUUUGUUCCUUUCCAUAUUUAGUGCUUCCUUCAGGAGCUCUUGUAAGGCAGGCCUGGAGGUGACAAAAAUCUCUCAGCAUUUGCUUUUCUGUAAAGCAUUUUAUUUCUCCUUCACUUAUGAAGCUUAGUUUGGCUGGAUAUGAAAUUCUGGGUUGAAAAUUAUUUUCUUUAAGAAUGUUCAUUAUUGACCUUCACUCUCUUCUGGUAUGUAGGGUUUCUGCAGAGAGAUCCACUGUUAGUCUGCUGGGCUUCCCUUUGUGGGUAACCUGACCUUUCUCUCUGGCUGCCCUUAACAUUUUUUCCUUCAUUUCAACCUUGGUGAAUCUGAUGAUUAUUUGUCUUGGGGUUGCUUUUUUCGAGGAGUAUCUUUGUGGUGUUUUCUGUAUUUCUGAAUUUGAAUGUUGGCCUGUCUUGCUAGGUUGGGGAAGUUCUCCUGGAUAAUAUCCUGAAGAGUAUUUUCCAACUUGGUUCCAUUCUCCGCAUCACUUUCAGGUACACCAAUCACACAUAGAUUUGGUCUUUCACAUAGUCCCAUAUUUCUUGGAGGCUUUGUUCGUUCCUUUUUAUUCUUUUUUCUCUAAUCUUGUCUUCAUGCUUUAUUUCAUUAAGUUGAUCUUCAAUGACUGAUAUCCUUUCUUCCGCUUUAUCAGUUCAGCUAUUGAUACUUGUGUAUGCUUUGCGAAGUUCUUGUGCUCUGUUUUUCAGCUCCGUCAGAUCAUUUAUGUUCUCCUCUAAACUGGUUAUUCUAGUUAGCAAUUUGUCUAACCUUUUUUUCAAGGUUCUUAGCUUCCUUGCAUUGGGUAAGAACAUUCUCCUUUAGCUCAGAGGAGUUUGUUUCUACCCACCUUGUGAACCCUACUUCUGUCAAUUCAUCAAACUCAUUCUCUGUCCAAUUUUGUUCCCUUGCUGGUGAGGAGUUGUGAUCCUUUGGAGAAGAGGCAUUCUGGUUUUUGGUAUUUUCAGCCUUUUUGUACGGGUUUCUCCCCAUCUUUGUGAAUUUAUCUGCCUUUGGUCUUUGAUGUUGGUGACCUUCGGGUGGGGUCUUUGAAUGGACGUGCUAUUCCUUUCUGUUUGUUAGUUUUCCUUCUGACAACCAGGCCCCUCUGCUGCUGGUCUGCUGGAGUUUGCUGGAGGUCCACUCCCAACCCUGUUUGCCUGGGUGUCACCAGCAGAGCCUGCAGAACAGCAAAGAUUGCUGCCUGAUCUUUUCUCCAGAAGCUUUGCCCCAGAGGGGCACCUGCCAGAUGCCAGCCAGAGCUCUCCUGUAUAAGGUGUCUAUCAGCCCCUACUGGGAGGUGUUUCUCAGUCAAGAUACACAGGGGUCAGGGACCCACUUGAGGAGGCAGUUUGACCCUUAGCAGAGCUCGAAUGCUGUGCUGGGAGGUCCACUGUUCUCUUCAGAGCCGUCAGGCAGGGAUGUUUAAGUCUUCUGUAGCUGUGCCCACAGCUGCCCCUUUCCCCAGGUGCUCUGUCCCAGGGAGAUGGGGGUUUUAUCUAUAAGUCCCUGACUGGAGCUGCUGCCUUAUUUCCAGAGAUGCCCUGCCCAGAGCAGGGAAAUCUGGCAGUCUGGCCACAGCAGCCUUGCUGAGCUGCAGUGGGCUCCACCCAGUUAAAACUUCCCAGCAGCUUUGUUUACACUGUGAGCACACUGUGAGCGUAAAACCACCUAAUGAAGCCUCAGCAAUGGUGGACUCCCCUUCCCCACCAAGCUCCAGCAUCCCAGAUCGAUGUCAGACUGCUGCUGUGCUGGCAGUGAGAAUUUCAAGCCAGUGGAUCUUAGUUUGCUGAGCCCACAGGGGUGCGACCUGCUGAGCCAGACCACUUGGCUCGCUGGUUUCGGCACCCCUUUCCAGGGGAGUGAAUGGUUCUGUCUCACUGGUAUUCCAGGCGACACUGGGGUAUUGAAAAAAAGAACUCCUGCAGUUAGUUCGGUGUCUGCCCAAACGGCCACCCGGUUUUGUGCUUGAAACCCAGGGCCUUGGUCAGGUAGGCACCAAAGGGAAUCUCCUGGUUUGCAGGUUGCGAAAACCAAGGGACAAGCGCAGUAUCCGUGCCAGAGUUCCCCAGGCUCAGUCCCUCAUGGCUUCCCUUGGGUAGGGGAGAAAAUUUCCCCACCCCUUGUGCUUCCCAGGUGAGGUGACACCCUACCCUGCUUUGGCUCACCCUCCGUGGGCUGCACCCACUGUCCAAGCAGUCCCAGUGAGAUGAACUGGGUACCUCAGUUGGAAAUGCAGAAAUCACCCACCUUCUGAGUUGAUCUUGCUGGGAGCUGCAGACCAGAACUCUUGCUAUUUGGCCAUCUUGCCUUCUCUCUCUAAUAUACCCAUUUUUUAAGUUGAUUAAUUUUUUUUGAGACAGGAUGUCGCUCUGUCACCCAAGCUGGAGUGCAGUGGCUCAAUCUUGGCUCACUGCAACCUUCACCUCCCAGGUCCAAGCAAUUCUCAUGCCUCAGGCUCCAGAGUAGCUGGGAUUACAGACGCCUGCCACAACACCCAGCUAAUUUUUGUAUUUUUAGUAGAGAUGAGGUUUCCCCAUGUUGGCCAGGCUGGUCUUGAACUCCUGGCCUCAAGAGAUCUGCCUGCCCCGGCCUCCCAACAUGCUGGAUUACAGGCAUGAGCCACCACACCUGGCCAGAAUAUAUCAUUUUGUAAUUGAUCAUUUACAGGUAUAUCUGUAGGUUAAAGUAUUAGAAAUAGUAUCAGAGUAAAAAUAUCCAUAAUUUUGAUCAGUUUUGCCUAAUUGCCCAGCUGUAUACAAGUUUCUCAUAACUUCUAAGAUACCCUGCCCAAAAUGCUCAGAAGUGCACAGAUUAAAGGGCCUGAUUUGUAAUGGCACUCAAUGCCAUUUUGUCAAACUAGCAAGGCUGAGAAAUCUCCUCUUGCCUCUUGCUCCUCCCCAGGUCAGUGGUGAGCUGUGCUGGCCACAGCCCUCUGGUCAGGGGCCUUGGUUCAGGAAGUUUCUGGCUGGAUCUGAGGCUGUCCUGCCCCUUGGACAGCACCUCAGAUCCAGCCUCUGUGGGCAGCUGGCAUUAAUCUCAUUUGUUUUCUCCACCUUUGGUCCUUCUUCACUUUCACUUUGGUAUCACCCUUGGCAGUCUGCAAAGUGCUUGCCGAGCUCUUCCCCCUUUUUUAUUCUAGAAACAGCCCUGAAAAGGCUGAAACUGACACUCAGAGAAGUUAACUGACUUGCUCGCACUCCCAUCGGUGGUAAGCCGCAAAGUAGAUUGGAAUCAAGUGUCCUAGCUCCAAGCUCAGUGCUCAGUUAUUAAUAACAAUGGCAAUUAUUUGUUGAGUACAGUCAUGUAUCUCCUAACAAUGGGGAUACCACCUAAGAAAUGUGCUGUUUGGCACAGAGCACAUACACAAACCUAGAUGCUACAGCGACUGCACACCCAGGCUAUAUGAUACAGCCUAUUGCUCCCGGGCUGCAAACCUGUCCAGCAUGUGAUGUGGUGGAAUACUGAAUUGAAUACCGAAUACUGUAGGCAAUUGUAACACAGUGGUAAGUCUUUGUGUAUCUAAACAUAGCUAAAUACCAAAAGGUAUAGUAAGAAUAUGGUAUUAUAAUCUUAUGGAACUAUCAUUGUAUAUGUGGUUUGUCAACCAGAAUGUAGUUAUACAGCACAGGACUGUACUUAUGAUGUGCCAAGCACAGCUCUCAGCACUAACUCCUUUAAUCUUCAUAUCAACCCUAGAAGGUAAGUUCUUAGGUUAUCAUGGGUUCCCCAGGAGAAGACCUUGAGACGAGGGUCCAAGUGCAAGUUGUUUCUUUGGAACACAAUCUUAGAAACCAGCCUAGAGAGUGGGGAAAUGAGAGGGGGAAGGGGGAGCUAACAGGUGGUGCCAGUUACCCCACUGCGGUCAUCAGAGCUUAUCUCUGCUGAGGAAACUCUAGAACCAGUGUAGAAAACACACCUCAGAUCUACUCACCAGAGAGGCUGGACAGCCAGGGCUCUUACACAUCAGCCUCAUCCAGCAUUGUUUGCGGGGAGGCACUGUGGUGUUAGGGGGGUGUAGUGAGGGCAAUUGGACAGCUGGCUUUCACACCCAGGAGAGCUUUGAACCCAGAAGUUGGGCAGGAGUGUGCAGAAGGGAUUAAGACACCAAAUGCAGGUCGUUGCUGAUUAUGUCUACUACAGCAUUACUAUAAGACGUGUUAUAUUUUUAGAAUUGAAGAAACAGAGACUAGACAGUUUAUGCCUCUUGCCCAUGGUCAUGCAGGUAAUAAGUGGCAGAGCUGACUUAAGCAGUCGCAUCAAGAGCCUGUGCUCCUGGCCGCCAUGCUGCACCACCCCAGACCUCACUACCUCACAUUGCCUCUUCUUACACCCCAGGCAUCCCAUGAGAUUUUUGUUUCCCAUCCUGAAGCUCCUCCCUGAGCCCACUCCUCUGGACUUGGGUGCACCAAACUCCACUUGAUCCUCAGUAUAUUGGCACCCCCUCUUCCCACUACACAGUUCCACUACACCAGCGGCUCCAUUCUGCAUGCAUCAGAAUCCCCUGUGGGUCUGCUAGAUCAGACUGCUGGGCCCCUGUCAAAGCAUCUGUCUCACAAAACAAGACACUCUGGUUACCAGCCCCAGGGGAGAACUCCAAACACUUGUGCCUAUUGACCUUGGCAUCAGAGUCACCAAGGAAAACAGUGCAGUCAAGCACUGAAAGGGACGAUGCUUUGCUUAGGUAGAGAAGACACAGAGCAAGACCAGCUCCAAUAGUGUGGUCAGUGUAGAUAGGGUAUUUUACCUAUGCACACUCCUCUUGCACCCUAGAGGAAUAACCCCAUAUUUCUAUCUCGAGUCUGAAAUACUGAAAGCUGUCGGGGGGUGUCUAGGGCCCUUGACAGACAUCCAUUGAGUCUGAAAGCUCUCCCCAUGCAAUGCAUGAGGUGAUAGGCACGGCACAGGCUUUCUCUCUCUGUAAGGAAGUACCCAAGGCCCCUUCUCAUGUGGCCCCGCGUGGGUGGAAAGACCAUUUUCCCCUUUCCCGACAGUUUAUCCUUUCCUUUCUCCCUCCCUUCCUUCCUUCUUCCUUCCUUCCUUCCUUCUUCCUUCCUUCCUUCUUCCUUCCUUCUUUCCUUCCUUCCUUCCUUCCUUCCUUCCUUCCUUCCUUCCUUCCUUCCUUCCUUCCUUCAUGUUUUUUAGAGAGUGAGUCAUGCUAUGUUGUCUAGGCUGCUCUUGAACUCCUGGGCUCAAGCAAUCUUCCUGCCUCAGCCUCCUUAGUAGCAGCAAUUAAAGGGGUAUAAUCCCUGAGCAGGUUAACAGUUUCUCAUUCCAUGUGUCUAGGGAGAGACAGAGAAUCUACAUUUCUACAGGUACCCGGGCGGUGCUGUGCAGGUGCAUGAUAAGGAGCAUGACCUGAUGUCUGAUUCACACCAGGGUGUGGGAAUCUCAGAGGCAGAGAGCCCUGGAGAUGAAGGGGACAGAGUCCUGGAUUCAGAUCUCAUUUUACAAUGAAGACCCCAAUGCAGAAAGUCAUGUCUGAAAUUCUGAGCUUACUCUGCUGCCUGCUGGGACCUGCUCUGGAUGAGAGAAGGGAGGAAAAGGACUAAUCAGAGGAGCCAAUGAAGUCACUCCAUGAGCUCAGCUAAACUGCAGAUGAAAUGACUGAGCGUCGAGCGUGAAUUAGAAGAUGAAGCUUUGGGCUGGGCACGGUAGCUCACGCCUGUAAUCCCAGCACUUUGGAAGGCCAAGGUGGUUGGAUCACCUGAGGUCAGGAGUUUGAGACCAGCCUGGCCAACAUGGCAAAACCCUGUCUCUACUAAAAAUACAAAAAUUAGCCAGGCAUGGUGGCGCAUGUCUGUAAUCCCUGCUACUUGGGAGGCUGAGGCAGGAGAAUCACUUGAACCUGGGAAGUGGAGGUUGCAGUGAGCCAAGAUCACGCCAUUGCACUCCAGCCUAGGCAACAGAGCAAGACUCCAUCUCAAAAAAAAAAAAAAACUGACGUUUUGAAAGAUUAAAGACUUGCUCAUAAAAAUUUCCUUUUAAUCUCAAGUUUCCUGAACCCUGCCCAGCUAGAGAUUAAUGUCUGACCAUCAACACAGGACACUGUGCAGAUGGCUACUUGCUGGGGUACAUGAAGACCAAAGCCAGGACACAAGCCCCAGCCCUGCUAAACACGCAGAGACUCUGCCUCAGGCCACCUGCUGUGAGAUUCUGCUUCGCUCCACAGCUGACCCCAGCAUCUUCAUGUGAGGACCAUGAAUGGACAUAGUUUCCAGGUUUUUUUGUGACCCAGGAAACCCGAACUCUCAUCAAAAAUGAAUAAAUAAAAGGAGGGAUGGGUAAGAAAAUGCUAAAAAUCUACUUUUUGAGUCAUUAACAUUCACUUGAAAUUUGUCUCCACUAUUUCCUACUACCCUAGCAAACUCCAACCUGAAUAGCAUGGGUGAUGGCACUAAGCCCUAUAACAGAAAAAGUGCACUUAAGCUCUGUAUUAGUCCGUUCUCUCACUGCUAAUAAAGAUAUACCUGAGGCUGGCUAAUUUAUAAAGGAAAGAAGUUUAAUUGACUCACAGUUCUGCAUGGCUGGGGAGGCCUCAGGAAACCUACAAUCAUGGUGGAAGGGGAAGGGGAAGCAAGGCAACUUCACAAGGCGGCAGGAAGAAGUGCUGAGCAAAGGGGGAAAAGCACCUUAUAAAACCAUCAGAUCUCAUGAGAACUCACUCACUAUCAUGAUGACAGCAUGGAGAUAACCACCUCCAUGAUUCAAUUACCUCCCACCGGGUCUUUCCCAUGACACGUGGGGACUAUGGAAACUACAAUUCAAGAUGAGAUUUGGGUGGGGACACUGUCGAACUAUAUCAAGCUCCAUUCUGAUUUGUGGUGAGUGUUGAGCCUGCUUAAUAAUAUCCCAUUUUUCUACAGCUUUUCUCAUUCCCCAAAUGGCUCUCACCAAUGUUUGCUCAUUGAAUAUUAGCAAGUUCCCCAGACAGGAAUUGGAUUUAAUAUUAUCAUUCCCCAUUCACAGUUGAUGGGAGGGAGGUUCAGAGAGAUUAAAGGCUCUACUCAAACUUGGUAGACUGAUGUGAUAAUAGAGGCAUUUUUCUCUUCCCAUUAAACAGUGCUGUCAUUCUCAGUUUACAGAUUAAGGCCAAUCAGGGCAAAGCAAUUUGUUCGAGAGUACCGAGUCAGAGUUCCAUCUUUGCUCCAGUGACUUAAGAUGCCACCUCUAUUAUUCACUACAUUUUCAUAUGCAUUUGAUUCUAUUUCUGGACUUUCUAUUCUAUUUUAUUGGUCUGUCUAUGCACUAUAUCUCAUUGUUUUUAUUAUAGAAGCUCGAUUAGAUGUCUUAAUGUCUGGUAGAACCCUCUACCACCACUAUCGUUAUUAUUUUUUCUUUUAGUAUUCUCUGGUUAUUCUUGCACAUUUAUUUUUCCACAUAAACUUCAGUACUAACUUGCCAAGCUCUAAAACAAAAAUCUGGCCAGGAACAGUGGCUCACGCCUGUAAUCCCAGCACUUUGGGAGGCCAAGGCGGGUAAAUCACUUGAGGUCAGGAGUUCGAGACCAGCCUGACAUGGAUAAACCCUGUCUCUACUAAAAACACAAAAUUAGCCAGGCACAGUGGCGCAUGCCUGCAAUCCCGGCUACUUGGGAGGCUGAGGCAGGAGAAUCACUUGAAGCUGGGAGGUGGAGGCUGCAGUGAGCUGAGAUCGUGCCAUUGCACUCCAGCCUGGGCAACAAGAGUGAAACUCCAUCUCAAAAACAAACAAACAAAGAAAAACCUUCUGGUAUUUUUAUUGGGAUUGAGAUAACUUCAUAAUUUUACUUAUAGAGAAUUGUGAGAACCCUGAAUAUUUGAGACAUGUCUCAGUUAAUUUAGAAAGUUUAUUUUGCCUAGUUUGAGGAUGCACGUCUGUGACACAGUCUCAGGAAGUCCUGAUGAUAUGUGCCCAAGGUGGUUGGAGCACAGCUUGGUUUUAUACAUCUUAGGGAGUCAUGAGACAUCAAUCCAUAUAUGUAAGAUAUACAUUGGUUCCACCCAGAAAGGUAGGACAACUCGAGUAGGAAGGGGGCUUCCAGGUUACAGGUAGGGGAGAGACAAAUGGUUGCAUUCUUUUGAGUUUCUGAUUAGCCUUUCCAAAGGAGGCAAUCAGAUAUGACCUUAUCUCAGUGAGCAGAGGGACAACUUUGAAUAGAAUGGGAGGCAGGUUUGCCCUGAACAGUUCCCAGCUUGAUUUUUCCCUUUAGCUUAGGUAUUUGAGGGCCCCAAAAUUUAUCUUCCUUUUGCAUUUCCCCCCUUUUCUUUUUUAAAAUCUUUUGGACAAUAUAUGCUUUCACUUAUUAGUGGGAGCUGAACAAUGAGAACACAUGCACACAGGGAGGGGAACAACACACACUGGGGCCUGUUGGGGGAGAGUGGUGGUGGGGACAGUAUUAGAGAAAAUAGCUAAUUCAUGCUGGGCUUAAUACCUAGGUGAUGGAUUGAUAGGUACAGCAAACCACCAUGGCACAUGUUUACCUAUGUGUCAAACCUGCACAUCUUGCACGUGUACCCUGGAACAUAAAAAAAUACAAUUAAAAAUAAAUAAAUAAAUAUACUCUUUUGGAGGAAGCAUUUUAGAAGAAAAUGAGUCUCUGGUCUCAGGUUUCAUCUGAUCUCUCACAGCUAAGAUGGUUUAUUCCUAGACAGGUAGGUCAUGAGUUAUUAGGAAAGCUCAUUUUUAGUAGGUUGAGAAGUUUCAUGUCCUGUGAAGAAAAAAUAGGGGGAGGCUGGCUGGCUGGCUGCAAUGGCUUACACCUGUAAUCCCAGCACUUUGGGAGGCUGAGGCAGUUGGAUCACCUGAGGUCAGGAGUUCAAGACCAGCCUGGCCAACAUGGUGAAACCCCGUCUCUACUAAAAAUACAAAAAUUAGCCAGGAGCAGUGCAUGGCAUCUAUAAUCCCAGCUACUUGGGAGGUUGAGGCAGGAGAAUUGCUUGAACCCAGGAGGUGGAGGUUGCAGUGAGCCAAGAUCAUGCCACCGCAUUCCAGCCUGGGCAACAAGAGUGAAAACUCCAUCUCAAAGCAAGCAAGCAAGCAAGCAAAGGCAAAGAAAAAAAUAGGGGGAAGAAGGGAGAAAAAGAACAACAAACAAAAGAACAAUCCUGGAAAAUUGAUACAGGCCACAUUACUCUGAAGUCCACACAUCAGUAGGUAGUUUGAACAUGGCUUACAUAUGUAAAUAGGUUACUGUUAUUUUCUUCUGAAGUUUAAGUUGUCUAGAUUCAGUUCACAGGGCUUUAAGAAAGCACAACUUAGUUUUCAGUGAUUUCAAAUUAGGAAAAAUGGAAGAAAAAAAGGAAGAAAGAAAAAAAUUGAAAACAUUAUUUUGGAAACAUUUUAGCCAGGAAAUAUUAAAAUUCAGUCCAAAUUGUAGAAAAUAGUAAAAAUUGAAAAACAUUAGGCAAGACUGGACUCUAACAACUGGUGUACUAUAUAGCUUUUUGAAACAUAAUUUUUCUCUCUCCAGUUUCCCAUUUUUACUAAAGACAAAUCAUGGUAGGACCAAUUUGCUUUAUUAUACUUGGCCAGAUUAUUUUUAUAAAGUGCAGCAAGAGUAAUUAUUUUUCACAUAGGCUUUUAAAAUUGGCUUUGAUGGAACAUUGUUCUACAGAAGGAAUCUCAGAUAAGACUUUUUUAAGCCAAGCCCAGCCGUGAAUUUGUACAAUCGAAUACGUAUAAGUUGGAUGAAUUCUUCUACUCUUGAGGUCCCAAGAUAACUUGGGGUUCUGGACUUGCCAGGAAGUGACAUUCUGUACAUUCUGUGACAUUUUGACCCUGUACAGAGACUGUGUAGACAAGGUAUGGGGCCAGUUUUCCCAAGUGGCUUUUAUUGGCUAAGUCAAUUUCAAUUCCUUAAAGGAAAGCAUACCAUUCCAGCCAAAGCUUUGGUAAAAUAACCAGUUUCUCCAAUUGUAUCCUACUACAAUUCAAAACAGAUUCUUA